rnacentral:rRNA from 1 species
AUCUGGUAGCCUUCGGCUGCCCGAGUUGUAAUCUAGAGAAGUGUUUUCCGUGCCGGCCCAUGUACAAGUCCCUUGGAACAGGGCGUCAUAGAGGGUGAGAAUCCCGUCCUUGACAUGGACCCCCGGUGCUUUGUGAUACACUUUCAACGAGUCGAGUUGUUUGGGAAUGCAGCUCAAAAUGGGUGGUGAAUUCCAUCUAAAGCUAAAUAUUGGCGAGAGACCGAUAGCGAACAAGUACCGUGAGGGAAAGAUGAAAAGCACUUUGGAAAGAGAGUUAAACAGUACGUGAAAUUGUUGAAAGGGAAACGAUUGAAGUCAGUCAUGCUCUUUGGAUUCAGCCGUUCUGCGGUGUAUUUCCAUUGAGUGGGGUCAACAUCAGUUUUGACCGCUGGAUAAAGGCACUAGGAAGGUAGCACUCUCGGGUGAACUUAUAGCCUAGCGUCAUAUACAGUGGUUGGGACUGAGGAACGCAGCAUGCCUUUAUGGCCGGGAUUCGUCCACGUACAUGCUUAGGAUGUUGACAUAAUGGCUUUAAACGACCCGUCUUG